rnacentral:lncRNA from 1 species
UUCCACUUCCAUCAAUAAUUUGAGGCCCCAAAAGCAUUUUGUUCUCCCUUUCAUGAACUGUAGUUGCACGAAGGCCCUGCCCUCAAAUAUCUAAAAUUACACAUAUAUGUUACGUUGUUAUGCUCAAUAAUAGAAAAUAUAUAAAUUUAAAACAUGUAGAUCACCUAAUGUGAGAUUCUGAUACCCAUUCGCUUCAACAACUAGAAG